GGCUACGGAAGUGGCCCUUUCCACCUGCAGAGCCGCUGCGAGCCUCGUCAACAGCGUGUUUGAUUUUGUCCACCCAGAGCAACGGUCAGGUUUUAAGGAGACGGGGAAAACCCGGAUCUUGGCAGAUGGCGAGCCAGAGGCGUGAGGAAGGAUCACAUUGAAGGCGACACACAUACACAUAUACACAUACACUUUCCUGAGUUUUAAGGAUCAAAACAGGUACCUGCAACACUUUUACUAUUAAAGGGCCCCAACGUGCACACUUUUUGGACGCUUUUUGGACAUUUGUUUUGACACUUUUGGACACUUUAAGGUUGUUUUGUUUACAUGUUUCGUUUUGGUAAUAUUUGGUAUCUUGUAUAUUUUCCUGCAAGGUAGCUAUUUUCUUAUUUUGCUGUACAAUACAUGAGUGGCUACUCAAACUCUAAUUUUCUUGUCUGAAUCAUUAUUGGUUGCUCAACAUUGCUCCUAGCGAAUUUAGUUUUCUUCUGAUACUGGUCUAAUUAUUGGUUUAAUCUAUUUAUAUACUGUAAUUCUCUUUUAAAUUCCUAAACUUGGUUACAACAGCAUACAAUCAUUUAUGACAUAACACAUUCUUUUUAUAAAGAUAGAUGGUUGUUUGUUGUUGUAGUUUACUUUAUACACACAGUAUAUCUCGCUGUCUCCCUUACGUUCAGGAUUAUCGCAUGUUCUCGUUAUCUCGUGUGUAUAUGGCUGGCUCCCUACCCUGCCGUUCCACGCCAGGUUUGAAUUUAUGCCGUGCAGAAGACGGAGCAAAACCAUGGCAGAGCCGUUCCGCGGCCAUUCCGCACCCGGUGGAAAUCUCCAAACACUGAGAUCCUCAAAUCAGCUGCUCCUGGCCACCACCAAAACCAGACUCGGAACCAACGUGGGACCAGGCCUUUGUGGCUCUGGAAGAUUCUGCCCUGGCUCAUCCGAUCUGCAGGCUCAUUUAAGGUUUUUAAAUCCUCCCUAAAAACACACUUUUCUCCCUGGCUUUUAAUUAAGUUUAAGUGGACAUCUUGCAAAAACAUUUUUAUUUAUUUUAUUCUAUUUUUAUUUAUUUACUUUAUUCUAUUGUUGCACUGUGUUUAUAUAUUUUAGUAUUUUAGUUUUUACCAUAUUUCCUGCAACUGUGAUAUCUGUAUAGCACUUUGGUCAACCCCGGUUGUUUUAAAUGUGCUCUAGAAAUAAAGUUUGACUUGAUUUGA